rnacentral:rRNA from 1 species
UACAGAGGUCCCGAGCGUUGUUCGGAUUCAUUGGGCGUAAAGGGUGCGUAGGUGGCGCUGUAAGUCAGGUGUGAAAUUUCGGAGCUUAACUCCGAAACUGCAUUUGAUACUGCGGUGCUCGAGGACUGGAGAGGAGACUGGAAUUUACGGUGUAGCAGUGAAAUGCGUAGAGAUCGUAAGGAAGACCAGUGGCGAAGGCGGGUCUCUGGACAGUUCCUGACACUGAGGCACGAAGGCCAGGGGAGCAAACGGG